UACGAAGGGGGCUAGCGUUGCUCGGAAUCACUGGGCGUAAAGCGCACGUAGGCGGCUUCUUAAGUCAGGGGGGAAAUCCUGGAGCUCAACUCCAGAACUGCCUUUGAUACUGAGAAGCUUGAGUCCGGGAGAGGUGAGUGGAACUGCGAGUGUAGAGGUGAAAUUCGUAGAUAUUCGCAAGAACACCAGUGGCGAAGGCGGCUCACUGGCCCGGUACUGACGCUGAGGUGCGAAAGCGUGGGGAGCAAACAGG
rnacentral:rRNA from 1 species